CAGCAGUGAGGAAUAUUGGACAAUGGGCGCAAGCCUGAUCCAGCCAUGCCGCGUGCAGGAUGACGGUCCUAUGGAUUGUAAACUGCUUUUGUACGAGAAGAAACACUGCUUCGUGAAGCAGCUUGACGGUAUCGUAAGAAUAAGGAUCGGCUAACUCCGUGCCAGCAGCCGCGGUAAUACGGAGGAUCCAAGCGUUAUCCGGAAUCAUUGGGUUUAAAGGGUCCGUAGGCGGUUUAGUAAGUCAGUGGUGAAAGCCCAUCGCUCAACGGUGGAACGGCCAUUGAUACUGCUGAACUUGAAUUAUUAGGAAGUAACUAGAAUAUGUAGUGUAGCGGUGAAAUGCUUAGAGAUUACAUGGAAUACCAAUUGCGAAGGCAGGUUACUACUAAUUGAUUGACGCUGAUGGACGAAAGCGUGGGGAGCGAACAGGAUUAGA
rnacentral:rRNA from 1 species